GAGAGGUGCUUCAUAACACCUCCGAUGCAAAUAUUCUUUGCCCAGAUGACCUGAGUGCAAACUCCAUGCAUCACCCUUGCAGUAUUAGCACAGAGCUCCAUCGCUUGAGCUUCAGAGAGCCUAUUCAGCUAAGCAAACAAACCUUUCUGAGCGCCCAGCAGGGCUGGCAAUGGUCUUCGUGCUGGCUGCAGCUUAGGAGGGAGCUCAAAAAGAAAGAACUGGAUGGCAGCCAAGCAAUGGUAAAUGUUGGCUUCAGUUGGCUCGGUUUUCUGCACGGAUAAACCCGAAGACUACUGAUUAUGAUUCAUUCUGCUGGUCAGCUGGAACAUUCAGAUGCAGAAAUUGUUGAUUAGGGGCUCAGGAACUUAUGUUUAAUCUCAGAAGACCUUUCAGAGCUCACUGAUAUUUUUAGUGGCUCUGCAGUUACAACAUGUCAUGUGUUUUGGUGUUUGGUCUGGAUCCACUUCCGCCAACCCUUGGUGUUUCACUGCGUGUUGAAAACAAGUGACUUUAGUGGCUUUGAAUCUGACAAGUUAAUUGAUGGGCUGCCCCUUCGUUUCACCAUCUUGGGGUUUUCAGUCAUGUUAGCAGCACGCCUGUGGGGAUGGCAAUCUUGCUCUUUCAGUUGGAACACCAAAGGCCGAAUGCAAGCAAAAUAUUCCCAUCGGUCCCAGCUGUACUUUGUGGUGSUGCUAGUUUACAAAUGCAAAAAUUAGAUGGUAAUCAUCAUAGUAGUUUAAGCACUUAGAUUUUUAGAUCUGGUUUUGUGGCUAAUCUAAUCAAUAUCUAUUAGGAAACGAUUACCAGUACUAGUUCCAAAUAGUGAUCAGAAAAUAAUGUUAUAAACAUCUCAGAAUCACAGAGACUUAUUUUCUGCCUUCUCGAUGUAUUCACAUUUGUUCUGUAUCAAAAAGAAUACUGUUACUACUCAGACAUGCCUUGUAACUCUAACCCUUUUCAAGUGAGGAAGCACUUUUUACCCUGAAACUCUGCAGCAAAUACAUCUCCCUUCUUCUUAGAGGAGAUCUGUAAGAUUCGGGGGUCUGUAGCUUUGUUGUAUCGCCAUGUUGACUGUGUAGCACAGAAAUGAGUCUGGGAUGCAAAUUCAGAAGACUUUCACAAGUGAAGUUGGCAAAAAAUGUUUUAUGUUAUGUAACUGGUAUGUUCUCUUCUUUUACCUGUUUUACAGGGUGGCUUAAGGAAGUUGAGGAUCACUUUUAGACAUUCUGRUCAGCUUAUAGUAGUAUMUUAUAGUAUAAAUUGAAAAAAUUAAUUCUUAGGGUGCCAAUACAUGCAGAACUUGUAAUKUAUUAAAGAUAAUUUAAUUCUYAUCAUGCGGUCUUUACCUUACUGAAAUGUACUAGCAUGAGUAAUUGUCGUACUCCAGCUCCAAGGUUUAUUACACAUCUUUACCGGUUAUGCCAAUAAUAUGGAGGGGGCUGUAAACCUUUGUGAAAAACCCUGCAUGUCUAAACAAUUUUGAGAAAUUUACAUUUAAAAGAAAAAGUCCGUCAUAUAUUAAGAUGCAAACCUGUCUCGAUGGAUAAAUAAUUGAAAUCAUGAACAUGGGAAGGAAAAUAUUCACUUUGAUAGUCUGAAUUUAGAAUGUUUUCCUUACAAUAAUYAUCAUCCUGAAGUUUUUAGUGUGUAAAACUGAUCAUUUCAUGUGUAUGACACACUGCACAAAUCUAAGACCCACAAGGACCUCCAUGCCAGCUCCAGAUGUGGCGCCUGAACUUUUAUCUCAAGCAGUAGAGCCUCAACAAGGUUUGUUGAAAAGUUUCCCAAAAUGUGUGCCGUCCCAAAUUACACAACCGUGUUGUGCAGCAGCCAGCCUGUCUAGAAGCACGGACAACAAAGUUAAGUUGAGUGCCGCGGGGGCACUAGAGGCUGCGGACGCUGCCAUGUUUAAACCUGCUGAACAGAACGUGCUGUUCCUGCAGAAGGGAGAAACCGCUCAUAUACUUCUGACUGAAAAUCCAUCUCAGAUUCUCCGCUUUCCUAAAGCCAUCCUGAGUCUGACUUCACUUCCAGUUUGAAGUUUGAUGUGACUUUGAGGAACUUCUACAACGUCCAAAAGUGGUUAAACAAGUCAGUCAAUGCAAGACGUGCAGGACAGUAACCUUACUGUACACAGGUGGUGUGUUGUUGCCACCCCAUCCAGGAUGCCCCGGGUGGGGAGCCACAUCAUCCAUGUCAAAAACUGCCACUCCUUUCAGUCAGUUAAACAUCCCACCUCAUUCUGUUAGCCAACAUCAUUCACCUGCUGUACUCUGCAACAUGUUAAACAGUAAAGUCAUCCAACCAGUAUGAUUUUGUCCGUUUUUAAAACAGAGUUAUCGUUGAACUGGCUUUACAAAAACAAGAACUCAGUUUCUCUUCAGAAUGGUUCAGUGGUUUCAUACCACCUGUUUGUUGUUGUUCAGUCGACGUGUGUCAGUUUGUGGCAUCCAUGAUCCCAGAUGUGGCCAUGUUGAGACUUGCAAACAUGACCGUCACUAUUUAAAGUAACAACUCACAUUUUGAAAAUUGAACAGUAGACUUGGGUAUCCUCGCUCUGUGCAAAUACUAUGUGUAUCUCGAGACACUGCCAACAAUAAAAGACACGUGAGCUGCAAAUCUUAAUUCAAUAGGUAUCAGUCUAGUUUAGCUCAUUUAGGCUCAUCUGAAUACCACACAAUGUGAUGCAAUGAGAUCCGUUACUGAGAUGAAGACUGAAAAUGAUGACUUGCAACUGAAUGAAAAUAACCUUAAAAUAGAUUUUUAGGUAUAUUUCCUUUCAAUGUAGGUGUUGAGAUAUAACUAUUAGUCAGUCUCCAAGAACAAUUCAAGUAUCUACAGUGCAACAGAUGUGAAUGUCAGUUGUUAAUGAGCAGAAAAAAAAUUACAUUUCUACAUUUUGAAAAUUAGAAAAAUAAUCAGCCUCAUAGACUGUGGCAGUUAUAAUAACCACACAAGGACAAGAAGACUUAUAAUACUGAAAGAAUGACAAAUACAUUUUCAGUUUAAGUAAUCAAGAAAUAACUCAACUUUAUAAGAAAAAGCAAAAAUAAAAAAAGAAGUUUCACAAAAAAGCCCUGUGGCAAAGCCAAGUAAUGCAGAUACAACGUUGCAUAUACACGUACAUUCAUUAAGUUGCUUCUUCUGGAAUUAUCCAUGUGAUUAAGUUGGGAUAAAUUGUACGAAUGCAAGCUUUUCAAAGGGUUGCAUCUAGACUUCAUCCAACAUCUGAAUUCACAUUUGAUUGUUGCUGCUUUCCUAAUGAUGCCACAUAAUACAUGCGCACAUCUGUAGACUGGCCAUUUGAAAAGA